rnacentral:rRNA from 1 species
UACGUAGGGGGCUAGCGUUGUCCGGAAUCAUUGGGCGUAAAGCGCGUGUAGGCGGUUCGGUAAGUCUGCUGUGAAAGUCGGGGGCUCAACCCUCGAAUGCCGGUGGAUACUGUCGGACUAGAGUGCGGAAGAGGCGAGUGGAAUUCCUGGUGUAGCGGUGAAAUGCGCAGAUAUCAGGAGGAACACCAAUUGCGAAGGCAGCUCGCUGGGACGUUACUGACGCUGGAGACGCGAAAGCGUGGGGAGCAAACAGG